rnacentral:rRNA from 1 species
AACGAACGCUGGCGGCAGGCUUAACACAUGCAAGUCGAGCGCCCCGCAAGGGGAGCGGCAGACGGGUGAGUAACGCGUGGGAACAUACCCUUUAGUACGGAAUAGCCUCGGGAAACUGGGAUUAAUACCGUAUACGCCUACGGGGAAAGAUUUAUCGCUAAAGGAUUGGCCCGCGUUGGAUUAGCUAGUUGGUGAGGUAAUGGCUCACCAAGGCGACGAUCUAUAGCUGGUCUGAGAGGAUGAUCAGCCACACUGGGACUGAGACACGGCCCAGACUCCUACGGGAGGCAGCAGUGGGGAAUAUUGGACAAUGGGCGAAAGCCUGAUCCAGCCAUGCCGCGUGAGUGAUGAAGGCCCUAGGGUUGUAAAGCUCUUUCGCUAGAGAAGAUAAUGACGGUAUCUAGUAAAGAAGCCCCGGCUAACUUCGUGCCAGCAGCCG